AAGAUUAUUACUAUUGAAACUAAAUAAAGAAUACUUACAUUUAAAUAUUCUAUAAGACUCUUUACAUGAGCAAAGAACUUAAAUAGAAAUACAAGUAAAAAGUUAACGAUCACAAGAAAGACAAUAUAGGAGCGAUUAUUAUAGUAUUCCAAGGAAGAUGUUUAGCUAAGAAGAUCAAUUAUAUGGUUGGCUACAACCUACUAUUCAAGAAGGAAACUCACGGAGAACCAAUUAUCAGAAUUUCUCUU
rnacentral:lncRNA from 1 species